rnacentral:lncRNA from 7 species
AUAGGGGUGAAGCGAAAGGAGCAUGAAGAGUGUCCUAUGAGGUUGUGGUUUUUGACUGACAUGACAAACCUCAUAGCUGGCAUCCAGUUACAAAUGAAGAGCUGGGGAACGGGCAGAAUUUUCAUGUGCUUGAAGGAGAAAAAUAGCCGUGUUCCAGUUUCUGCCUCCCAAAGAACUGACACCAACUACAGCAAUGAACUUCAUGACACUGAUCCCUGGGAAUGAAGCAGCCUCAGAAAAAUCACUGGUAAAUAGCUCGCCUGGGCUCAAGUGCCUGCAGAUGACAACAGAGCCCAGCCAUAACUGCAGUGCUGGCUUGCUGUGACUUCUUUUGUACAGCUGCUUGGCACAGAUGAAGGUGUUUGACAGCGGUGUUCUGACUGAUGACAUUCCAGCUUCACCCAAGGACUGUGCCACAUGCCAUCAAAGAAUGGGUCACAUACAACUGUGCCUGCUGUUAAUGCUGCCAAGCGCUCUGGACGUCUUCUGUGCUUCCAAAUGCAACAAUGCCCUGUAGGGACUGAAAGGCCUCACUUAGCGUAUCUUCCCGGAUAGAGAAAAGGGAACCUUCAGAACGAAAAUGAGAUGUCUCUUAAGGAAAGCGUUCUUCCCUCUGCAUUACUGAAAAGCAGGAAUUGUUUUAAGCAGAACAAAAGCAAUACCAAAAGGAAAUGUUUGCAAUAUUCAGUAUUCAACGUUGACGCUUUCAAAAGAUGUGUUUCCUUGCGGAGCCAAGCAGUUGACUCCCUGCCACUAAUACCAUUAUUUAUAGUGUGGCACAGGCAAAGGGACUUAAUCCAGCAGACCCCAAAUAGGGCUUCUUCAUUCAUAAGAAAUAUAAGGAAAGUGUGUCUGUACAGCGUCUGGCAAAGUAGUCCUCUGAUCCCUUGCUGGACAGGGAGGAGCUGCCAGCAUUAAGGUAUGUUUUGAUGGAGCUGGGAAGCAGCUUGAUUUAUGCUCUCAAGAAGAAGGGUUUUCUCCUUUGUGACCUUUUGAAACACCCAUGUUCAUUGUUCCUCCAUUAAACACAGAAGU